AGUGCAUGGUGUGGGCAUUGUAAUAAAAGUGAUUUGAAGCGAUCCUAUGCUUCAUGAAAAGAUUCAGUAUCCUUUUGAUAGAAAUUAGAAAUUUCAGCUCUUAAUUCU
rnacentral:snoRNA from 1 species